GAUGAACGCUGGCGGCGUGCCUAAUACAUGCAAGUCGAGCGAACAGACGAGGAGCUUGCUCCUCUGACGUUAGCGGCGGACGGGUGAGUAACACGUGGAUAACCUACCUAUAAGACUGGGAUAACUUCGGGAAACCGGAGCUAAUACCGGAUAAUACAUUGAACCGCAUGGUUCAAUAGUGAAAGACGGUUUUGCUGUCACUUAUAGAUGGAUCCGCGCCGCAUUAGCUAGUUGGUAAGGUAACGGCUUACCAAGGCAACGAUGCGUAGCCGACCUGAGAGGGUGAUCGGCCACACUGGAACUGAGACACGGUCCAGACUCCUACGGGAGGCAGCAGUAGGGAAUCUUCCGCAAUGGGCGAAAGCCUGACGGAGCAACGCCGCGUGAGUGAUGAAGGUCUUCGGAUCGUAAAACUCUGUUAUUAGGGAAGAACAAAUGUGUAAGCAACUAUGCACGUCUUGACGGUACCUAAUCAGAAAGCCACGGCUAACUACGUG
rnacentral:rRNA from 1 species